rnacentral:rRNA from 1 species
UGAGGAAUUUUGCGCAAUGGGAGCAAUCCUGACGCAGCAACGCCGCGUGGGUGAUGAAGGCCUUCGGGUCGUAAAGCCCUGUCAGGUGGGAAGAAUGUCCCGGGACUGAACAGGUUCCGGGAGUGACGGUACCACCAGAGGAAGCACCGGCUAACUCCGUGCCAGCAGCCGCGGUAAUACGGAGGGUGCAAGCGUUAUUCGGAAUUACUGGGCGUAAAGCGCGUGUAGGCGGUCCUGCAAGUCUGAUGUGAAAGCCCCGGGCUUAACCCGGGAAGUGCAUUGGAAACUGUGGGACUUGAGUACUGGGGUGGAUGGGGGAAUUGCCGGUGUAGAGGUGAAAUUCGUAGAGAUCGGGAGGAAUAUCAGUGGCGAAGGCGCCCAUCUGGACGGUAACUGACGCUGAGACGCGAGAGCGUGGGGAGCAAACA